GAUGAACGCUGGCGGCGGGCCUAAUACAUGCAAGUCGAGCGGACAGAUGAGGCUCUUGCUCCGCUGAAGUUACCGGCGGACGGGUGAUGAACACGUGGAUAACCGACCUAUAAGGCUGGGGUAACUUCGGGAAACCGGAGCUAACACCGGAUAAUAUAUUGAACCGCAGGGUUCAAUAGUCAAAGAGCGUUUUGCUGUCACUUAGACGUGUAUCCUCGCCGCAUUAGCUAGUUGGUAAGGUAACGGCCUACCAAGGCAACGAUGCGUAGCCGAUCUGAGAGGGUGAUCGGCCACACUGGAACUGAGACACGGUCCAGACUCCUACGGGAGGCAGCAGUAGGGAAUCUUGGGCAAUGGGCGAAAGCCUGACGCAGCAAUGCCGCGUGUGUGAUGAAGGUCUUCGGAUCGUAAAGCACUGUUAUUUGGGAAGAACAAAUGUGUAAGUAACCAUGCACGUCUUGACGGUACCAACUGAGAAAGCCCCGGCUAACUACGUG
rnacentral:rRNA from 1 species